GAUAAGGUGGCUGAGUUUAGGUGUUAGAUUGUAAAUCUAAAAACAAAUUAUUAAAUUUUCUUAUCA
rnacentral:tRNA from 1 species